AAAAAAAAAAAGAAAUAUCCUUAAAAAACAACAGGUGUAUACGCUUUAAAAAUACCCAGGUCAUGAGAGACAACACUAAGGAAUAGUUCCAGAUGAAAGGAGACUCAAGAGUGUCUUCAUAAGAAGAGUCUAGGACACAGGCAUGUACACAGAGACAGCAGAAACCAUGUGAGGACACAGGGAGAAGGCGGCCAUCUGCAAACCAAGGAAAACAGGCUUCAGGAGAAACACACCUUGAUCUUGGACUUCCAGCCUCCAAAACUUGAACACGGUACAACUUUCACGAGGACUGAGUUAACACCGAGAAUGCAUGUGACAUGGACAACCUGGUGCCUCACUUUUUGUCACAAACAGAACUUUCCUGAGAAGGCACUGCCACUGAUUUUGUUGACCAUCUGCACCACACCUAUCACGCUGCCUCGGCUGACGAUGGGCAUGCACAGGAUGUUC
rnacentral:lncRNA from 1 species